GGUAAUGUGGCUUAGUGGUAGAGUGUUUGCCUAGCAUGCAUGAAGUCCUGGAUUUGAUUCCUCAGUACCA
rnacentral:tRNA from 1 species